UACGUAGGGGCCUAGCGUUGUCCGGAAUUAUUGGGCGUAAAGAGCUCGUAGGCGGUUCGGCAAGUCGGAUGUGAAAUCUCCACGCUUAACGUGGAGGGGCCAUUCGAAACUGCUGUGACUCGAGUCCGGUAGGGGAGUGUGGAAUUCCCGGUGUAGCGGUGAAAUGCGCAGAUAUCGGGAAGAACACCCGUGGCGAAGGCGGCACUCUGGGACGGUACUGACGCUGAGACGCGAAAGCGUGGGGAGCGAACAGG
rnacentral:rRNA from 1 species